GGCCUUGUGGUGAAUUAACAUAUUGAAUUGCAAAUUCAAAGAAGCAGCUUAAAUUCUGCCGGGGCUU
rnacentral:tRNA from 2 species